rnacentral:rRNA from 2 species
AGGCUUUACGCUUGAAUACAUUAGCAUGGAAUAAUGAAAAUAGGACAUCAGAUUCUAUUUUGUUGGUUUCUAGGAUCGAUGUAAUGAUUAAUAGGGAUAGUUGGGGGCAUUAGUAUUCAAUUGUCAGAGGUGAAAUUCUUGGAUUUAUUGAAGACUAACUAUUGCGAAAGCAUUUGCCAAGGAUGUUUUCAUUAAUCAGAAACGAAAGUUAGGGGAUCGAAGACGAUCAGAUACCGUCGUAGUCUUAACCAUAAACUAUGCCGACUAGGGAUCGGACGAUGUUAUUUUUUUGACUCGUUCGGCGCCUUACGGGAAAC